rnacentral:lncRNA from 7 species
AGAGGGAUGGGGAGGGGAGGGGAUGGGUGAAGAGCAGAGCGGAGGGAAGGGCUGAGGGGAGGGCUGAAGGCAAACCUAUGAUGAAAAAAGAAAAGAAAAAAUAAGAACAAAAAAUAUGAAAAAAAGAGAAAAAAAGAAAAGAAAAUAAGAAAGAGAAAAAAUGAAAAGAAAAAAAGAAAAAAAUGAACAAAAAAGAAAAAGAGAAAAAAUGAAAAAAAAGAGAAAAAAGAGAAAAGAAAAAAAAAUGAACAAAAAAGAGUAAAAAGAGAAAGAAAUGAAAAAAAGAGAAAAAAGAGAAAAGAAAAAAGAACAUGAACAAAAAAGAGAAAAAAGAGAAAAGAUAAAAAAGAAAAAAGAUAAAGAAAAAAGAAAAAAAGAAAAUAGAAAUAAAAAAGAGGACAGAAAAAUAUGAAAAAAAGAAAAAAGAAAAGAAAAAAAUAGAUGAAAAAAGAAAAAACAAAAGGAAAAACGAAUAAUGACAAGAGAAGAAAGGUAAAGAGAAAAGAAGAAAAAAGCCAAGUCAAAAAGUAAAGAAUAACUCGAAGGAAGGAGUGGAUGGCAAGAAAUACAGAGAAAGCAGUGCAUAGCACAGCAGAGCAAAGCAAGGCAAAAUAGCAGCCAAAGCCACGAGAAUCAAGAAGUCAGUGAAGAGCAGGAAAGGAAUGGAGGAAUCUGGCCAGAGCUGUGCCCCUGCUUGCCACAGGAGCUGCGCGGGAGGAGAAGAAUGUGGGCCAAAAGGUAAGAGGAGCUCCUUUGGGUUCUGGGCUUGAAGCAAAGCUGAGAAGCCAUGCCCGGGAGGAGGUGUGGGUAGCUACAGGCCACCUUGCUAUCUCCCCAAGAGAUGAGGUGUGUGGGCUAGGCACCGGGCAGGAGUGCUGGCCAGAAGCAAGCAUCUCUGUGGAGGAAGGCAAAGGGCGGAGGAGGUUCAAGGGUAGCUACCGGGCAUGGCCUUGCUCAGCAAGGGGAGGAAAAGCCUGAAGGGCACGAGAAGAGGGAUAGAGAAGGGCAGGCAGUAGGCGUGAAGCUGUGAGCAGAGUAGAGAGCAACUUGGCAGAGCAGCAAGCAGAGUAGGCAAGUGCUUGAGGUUUGGCGUGAGUAGCAGCAAAAGCCCAUAGCAUCAAGAAGCAGGAAGUGAGGAGAAGGUAAGUGAAGGGCAGGCAAGGUAAUGGGAGGCAAAGGCAAGGGGAAAGGGGGGGUAAGGGAGAAAGAGGGAUGGGGAGGGGAGGGGAUGGGUGAAGAGCAGAGCGGAGGGAAGGGCUGAGGGGAGGGCUGAAGGCAAACCAAUGAUGAAAAAAGAAAAGAAAAAAUAAGAACAAAAAAUAUGAAAAAAGAGAAAAAAAGAAAAGAAAAAUAAGAAAAAGAGAAAAAAUGAAAAGAAAAAAAGAAAAAAAAAAAAUGAACAAAAAAGAGAAAAGAGAAAAAAAUGAAAAAAAGAGAAAAAGAGAAAAGAAAAAGAAAAAAUGACAAAAAAGAGAAAAAGAGAAAGAAAUGAAAAAAAAGAGAAAAAGAGAAAAGAAAAAAAAGAACAUGAAAAAAAGAGAAAAAGAGAAAAGAUAAAAAAAGAAAAAAGAUAAAGAAAAAAAGAAAAAAGAAAAUAGAAAUAAAAAAGAGGACAGAAAAAUAUGAAAAAAAGAAAAAAAAAAAAAAGAAAAAAAAACAGAGAUGAAAAAAGAAAAACGAAAGGAAAAACGAAUAAUGACAAGAGAAGAAAGGUAAAGAGAAAAGAAGAAAAAG